rnacentral:rRNA from 1 species
KGCUCCUUGCUUUUUCUUAUUGGGAGUCGGACCUGCUCGGUGAAUUAUUUUAACAGCCGCGGUACUCUGACCGUGCAAAGGUAGCAUAAUCAUUUGCCUUAUAAUUGAAGGCUAGUAUGAAUGGUUUGACGAGAAUUAAGCUGUCUCUUUUCAACUAAAUAUAACUUUAUCAAUAGGUGAAGAAGCCUAUAUUGAAUUGAAAGACAAGAAGACCCUAUCGAGCUUUAAAUAACUUAAUAGGUUAAUAAGAUAUUAAUAAAAAAAUUAAGCUAUAAAAAAUUUUGGUUGGGGCGACCGAGGAACAGACAAAGCUUCCUCUAUUUAACGAGAUACAGGCAGGUAUUGAUCCAGUGGAACUGAUUAAAGGAAUUAGUUACCGUAGGGAUAACAGCAUAAUCCUCUUUGAGAGCCCAUAUCGAAAAGGGGGUUUGUGACCUCGAUGUUGGACCAGAAUAUCCAGAAGAUGCAGCCGUCUUCAAUGGUUGGUCUGUUCGACCAUUAAAAUUCUACGUGAUCUGAGUUCAGACCGGCGUGAGCCAGGUCAGUUUCUAUCUUCAAUUAUUGAAAUACCUUUAGUACGAAAGGACCAAGGUAUUAUAAUACUUUACUAGCAAGUGAUCAAAUAUAAAGAUUCAUUAAACCUUAGGCAAAAAUCAAAUUAGCAAAGAUUAAUGCAAUUGACUUAGGAUCAAUAGACAUAGGCGAAAUUCCUUUAUUUGAUAGAAAGUCAAAGAUAAAGAUGGCAGAACAA